rnacentral:lncRNA from 1 species
AAAGCCUCCUUCCCAUUCCCGUCUCCUCCCCAGUCAGGUGCUGAGGAGUAUGGGCUGACUGUGCCCUCAGAUAUGUCUAACUUGGGGGUGGUUCUUGGCUCCCUCUUUUUGGAAUUAAGGAAGUGCAAGGAGACCGGGCAUGAGCACACCAACCCCUGAAUUCCCUUCCUGACCUCUGCCUCCUCCCAGGCCUCCUGUGUCCCUGGAGGCGCUGCUGAUGGGGCAGGGGUUUCUUGGUCACUGCGGGAGGAGACUGAGGAGGUGAGUCUACUCAUCUGGUCCCUGAUUCCUGUCAUAUCGGCCCCCAGCGGUGCCUGCUUCCUGCCUGCUUCCUUCUCUGCAUCCCCCUCCACAUUUCUCUUCCUAGCUGCUUGAUUCCUGGACCUUCAGGAUUUCAAGAAGAUGCCGCUACCUGGGAAGCCCCUGGGACUUUUUAACAGAAACUUACCCGAUUGGAGCAUGACUUAAAGAGACCAGAAAGGGAAGUACCUACUUUAUGGUUGGCACAAUGCCAGGGGCUUCACAUUCGUUAACUCAUUAGCUCAUUUGAUCCUCACAAGAACCCUAUUCUUCUUCUUCAUUAACAGAAGAAAUGGGGGCUUGAGAAGGCCUAAGCAACUUGCUCAAGGUCGUGUGGUAUAAGAGGCAGAGGUGAACUUUGAUAUCAGGAUUGUAGGACUCAAGGUCUGUACUGGAUCCGCUGUUUGGAGACAGAAACAGAAAAAGUUUGCCUACCCUGCUCUGCAAGCCUGUCUGCACCUCGCUCAGUUUCCUCAUCUAUGAAAUGCGAGGCCUGAGUUAGAUGCCACAAAGGAGUGAAGUGCUGGUCUCACUCUGUCACCCCAGCUGGAGUUCCUUAAAACUCAUUGAGUGACCUCCCUGGGCCGGUUGGAAACAAGCUGUUCUCCCCGCGGGUGUCCAGGCCCUUGCCAAGGUAUCUCAGGUUUGCCAUCACUGGGCAUGGGGGUGCUUCAAGGGAAUGGGACCCAGGAUCCACCCCUUGUUGGAUUAACAUGUUCACAGAAAGGGAGAUGAGUGAAUCUUACCAGAUGGGGCUGCCUGGUCUGGGGAUAGUUGCUCGUCUGACCCAGGCAUGGUGUUUGGGAAGCCGCUGGACAAUAUUCUACUAUGGCUGCGUGCAUGUUUCUGGAAGGAAUCAAUGAAUGAUCCAAAAGUCUGUUCCACUGAACUUGCAUUUGAUGGCGGGUGUGGUUCCUCCUGUAGGAAUUCACCCCACUUUAAGACCAGAUGAUGCAAACGCAGGCAGUAAGAGCCGCGGAUGCCUCCCAUCCCCUUCCACUGGCUGUUAGCAUCGCUGCCCGGACACUGCAAACACCAGCCCAUAGAGGGCUGCCCUUUCUGUGAACGUGUUGUCUUUCCUGCUCACCUCUGCCCCGAGGGACGGGGAGGGUAAUUAUCUGCCGUGGUGUCAGAACUUUUAUUUCUUGCUGCUGCUGGGCUUCCGCCACAG